rnacentral:tRNA from 1 species
AUUUAUAUAGUAUAACAAUUAUAACUGAUUUCCAAUCAGAAGAUCUAUCAAUUAGUAUAAAUA